CUACGGGAUGCUCCAGUGAGGAAUAUUGCACAAUGGGGGGAACCCUGAUGCAGCAACGCCGCGUGGAGGAUGACGCAUUUCGGUGUGUAAACUCCUUUUAUAUGUCAAGAAAAUGACGGUAGCAUAUGAAUAAGCACCGGCUAACUCCGUGCCAGCAGCCGCGGUAAUACGGAGGGUGCAAGCGUUACUCGGAAUCACUGGGCGUAAAGGACGCGUAGGCGGGUUGGAAAGUCAGGUGUGAAAUCCUACAGCUUAACUGUAGAACUGCACUUGAAGCUUCUAAUCUAGAGUAUGGGAGGGGGAGAUGGAAUUAGUGGUGUAGGGGUACAAUCCGUAGAUAUCACUAGGAAUACCUAAAGCGAAGGCGAUCUCCUGGAACAUUACUGACGCUAAGGCGUGAAAGCGUGGGGAGCAAACAGGAUUAGAUACCCUCGUAGUC
rnacentral:rRNA from 1 species